GUGCUUGCUUUGGUGCACAUACACUGAAAUUGGAACAAUACAGAGAUUAGCAUGGUCCCUGUGCAAGGAUAACAUGCAAAUUCAUGAAGCAUUCCAUGUUUUA